GUUUGCUUAAAAAAAAAUUGCUGGGAAAUUCCCUUUGGUCGAAUCAAGCUCAAUAAGAUAAAGCCUAAACCUACACUGCAUCAUUUCAUAAUUUCACAUCCUCAGUCGACUCCAAGAACUUUCUUCCAAAAUCCAACGAUUCCCAUUAAUUCCCAUCUUCACCUAAUUCUCUUCCCACACUUUUCGAUCAUUUAUUUCUCAGAUCUCAAAGUAAAUCAUCUAUUCAUCUAUAAUUGCACAGAUCUCAGAGGAAUCUAGUCACUGGCCUCGUUCCAGCCGAAUAGGAUUAAUUCCCAGCUUCAAAACAGAGCCAAGACCCCCUCCUCUGCAUGAUCCCAACAUCCCACACUCCUUUAUUUCUCCCGCUAGAUCCCCUCCACGGGAUAAAGCCUAGGAAUCCAACUCCCUCCCGGCAUCUUCCUAACCUCCCAAAUCCCCUGCUUCCAGCUCACCUUAUCUUCAUCCUCUUGCGAUUCAUCAUCCCUUGUUUCCAACCAACCGUAUACAUCAUCCCCGUGUCCAGCUGCUCAACUCCAAGCAUCUCCCUGCAUCCACGUCCGCCCGUUCGCAUGAGAUCCUCCCAACGUCCACGGUCUUCCAUUGCUUCGGAACAGCCGGGAUCUUCCGAACCAAUCCAACCGGUUGCAUCCUUAUCCCUUCUUCAAAUCCCAGCAACCGUAUGCUUUCAUCCCAGCAAAAUUCCAAUAUCCCUCUGGAUUACGUGGAUCCAAUCUUCAUCUCAGUUCACGGCUCUUCACUCCUUCCUAGCCGAAUCAACCAACCUUCUCCAGAUUCCACGUCCACGAACAGAUCCCAUGCCUCCCAGGCGACCGUUCCCAAGCCUCCCCUGCUUCUCUCCCACAACCAAUGCUCCACAUCACAGCCGUACCCUCCUUCCAAACCAAAUCCAGAACCUGUCCUAGCCUCCCUCCGGAUCGCGUUCGUGAUCUACGUUCAUCCCACGACCGCAUCAAAUCCCCUGUUACGUGUAUCUCCCGUUCACGAUAGCCUUCAUCCACCCACGCCUCCCCUGUUUCACGAGCUUCAUCUCCCAGCCUUGCAUCCUUAUCUCUACUUCGAAACAGAGUUCCAGCAUCCCGUUCAUGAGCCAUAUCCUCCCUAAUCAUCCACGAUUCAAGGGAUCAGCUUCCAGUUCCGCUCCCAGCACCUCAUCCACGGAUGUAAUCCAUCUCUUCUUUAUCCAAAUCCCCUGCAUUCUAGAGUCAUCUUCUCCGAAAAUAAAGCAACCUGUGAGCCACUUCCUCCCAACCGAACUAGCAUUCCAGCCGUUCGGAUUGACUUCAUCUUUCCACGCGUCCGGCUUCACGCAUCUUCUCCUUUGAUCAGCAUCCCAGCAGCCGGAUCUAAGAUCCGAACCACAGCAGUCCAACGAA